rnacentral:tRNA from 1 species
GGUCUCGUAGUAUAACGGUUAGUACAUUGGGUUUUCAUCCCAACAACGCGAGUUCGACUCUCGCCGAGAUCACCA